GGUGGCUCAGUGGUAGAGCACUUGCCUUGCAUGCAUGAGGCCCCAGGUUCGAUUCCUCAGCACCA
rnacentral:tRNA from 1 species